rnacentral:rRNA from 1 species
UCGAGAGGCUUUGGCAAUGGGGGAAACCCUGACCAAGCGACGCCACGUGGGGGAUGAAGGCUCUUGGGUUGUAAACCCCUUUUGUCGGGGAAGAAAUCCGAUCAGGUGAACAAUCUGGUCGAUUGACGGUACCCGACGAAUAAGCUCCGGCUAACUCCGUGCCAGCAGCCGCGGUAACACGGGGGGAGCAAGCGUUGUUCGGAAUCACUGGGCGUAAAGGGCGUGUAGGCGGCUCGGUAAGUGGAAUGUGAAAGCCCCCGGCUCAACCGGGGAACAGCAUCCGAUACUGGCGGGCUAGAGGAAGGCAGGGGUGAGUGGAACUCCAGGUGGAACGGUGAAAUGUGUAGAUAUCUGGAGGAACACCGGUGGCGAAAGCGGCUCACUGGGCCUUUCCUGACGCUGAGGUGCGAAAGCUAGGGUAGCAAACGGGAUUAGAUACCCGGGUAGUCCCUGAGCGGGCUGGCAAGGCGCAU